rnacentral:rRNA from 1 species
AUUGAACGCUGGCGGCAUGCCUUACACAUGCAAGUCGAACGGCAGCACGGGUGCUUGCACCUGGUGGCGAGUGGCGAACGGGUGAGUAAUACAUCGGAACAUGUCCUGUAGUGGGGGAUAGCCCGGCGAAAGCCGGAUUAAUACCGCAUACGAUCUACGGAUGAAAGCGGGGGACCUUCGGGCCUCGCGCCAUAGGGUUGGCCGAUGGCUGAUUAGCUAGUUGGUGGGGUAAAGGCCUACCAAGGCGACGAUCAGUAGAUGGUCUGAGAGUACGACCAGCGACACUGGGACUGAGAGACGGCACAGACUCCUACGGGAGGCCGCAGUGGGGAAUUUUGGACAAUGGGCGAAAGCCUGAUCAAGGAACGCAGGGUGUGUGAAGAAGGCCUUCGGGUUGUAAAGCACUUUUGUCCGGAAAGAAAUCCUUGGCUCUAAUACAGUCGGGGGAUGACGGUACCGGAAGAAUAAGCACCGGCUAACUACGUG